rnacentral:rRNA from 1 species
AAGACGUGCGCAGGCGGUUAUGUAAGACAGAUGUGAAAUCCCCGGGCUCAACCUGGGAACUGCAUUAGUGACUGCAUAGCUGGAGUACGGCAGAGGGGGAUGGAAUUCCGCGUGUAGCAGUGAAAUGCGUAGAUAUGCGGAGGAACACCGAUGGCGAAGGCAAUCCCCUGGGCCUGUACUGACGCUCAUGCACGAAAGCGUGGGGAGCAAACAGGAUUAGAUACCCCAGU